GCAAAUCCGGCGUGCUAAUACAUGCAAGUCGAGCGGACAGAUGGGAGCUUGCUCCCUGAUGUUAGCGGCGGACGGGUGAGUAACACGUGGGUAACCUGCCUGUAAGACUGGGAUAACUCCGGGAAACCGGGGCUAAUACCGGAUGGUUGUCUGAACCGCAUGGUUCAGACAUAAAAGGUGGCUUCGGCUACCACUUACAGAUGGACCCGCGGCGCAUUAGCUAGUUGGUGAGGUAACGGCUCACCAAGGCGACGAUGCGUAGCCGACCUGAGAGGGUGAUCGGCCACACUGGGACUGAGACACGGCCCAAACUCCUACGGGAGGCAGCAGUAGGGAAUCUUCCGCAAUGGACGAAAGUCUGACGGAGCAACGCCGCGUGAGUGAUGAAGGUUUUCGGAUCGUAAAGCUCUGUUGUUAGGGAAGAACUAUUGCCGUUCAAAUAGGGCAGCACCUUGACGGUACCUAACCAAAAUGCCACCGCUA
rnacentral:rRNA from 1 species